GUUAUAAUAGUUUAAUAAAAAACAUCGGUUUUGUAAACCAAAAAUAAAUAAUAAUAUUUUUAUAACU
rnacentral:tRNA from 1 species